UAAAACAAAGUAAAUAUUCAUAAGGUUAAUUUUGAUAUUUCAAAUUGUGUAGGGGUAUUUAUUAUAACCGGGAACUUUUCAAGGGUAUGAAUAAAAUUGUCUCUCUAAAAAAACAGUGAAGAAAGGGUAAUGAUAAUUUCAUAUUUUUAAAGUAAAGAAAAAAAAUGCUGAGUUAACGAAAGUUAGCAAAAAAAAGUAACGGUAAGGGUAUUUAUGAAAGAUAUAUUGUAUUUAGAGGGUAUUGGUGAAAUUUUAAAAGUUUAAAAGGUAUUUAUGAUAUUUCAUAGUUUUGCGAAAGUAUAGAUAAAAUUAACCCAAAAAUAUAAUAAUAUUUAAUAAAAUAUUUUUAAUAUUGGAAAUUUUCAAACUCUACCUUUAUAUAAAUUUAUUGAAGAAUUCGCAAAAUACUCUAGAUAUAAAAUAUAUCUUAUUUAUUUCUAAAAAUUAUUUGUUUAAAAAUAUC
rnacentral:lncRNA from 1 species